rnacentral:rRNA from 1 species
GUGGGGAAUAUUGGACAAUGGGCGAAAGCCUGAUCCAGCCAUGCCGCGUGUGUGAAGAAGGUCUUCGGAUUGUAAAGCACUUUAAGUUGGGAGGAAGGGUAGUAACCUAAUACGUUGCUACUUUGACGUUACCGACAGAAUAAGCACCGGCUAACUUCGUGCCAGCAGCCGCGGUAAUACGAAGGUCCCAAGCGUUGUUCGGAAUCACUGGGCGUAAAGGGUGCGUAGGCGGCGUGGUAAGUCAGAUGUGAAAUCCCGGGGCUCAACCUCGGAACUGCAUCCGAUACUGCGAUGCUUGAGGGCUGGAGAGGUAACUGGAAUUCUCGGUGUAGCAGUGAAAUGCGUGGAUAUCGAGAGGAACACUCGUGGCGAAGGCGAGUUACUGGACAGCAUCUGACGCUGAGGCACGAAGGCCAGGGGAGCGAAAGGGAUUAGAUACCCUGGUAGUCC